CUGAGAGGAGGGGGGUAGUAUGGAGAGAGUGCUGGUGCUUUAUCCAAUCAGUGGCGCUGGCGCGGGAACCGCCCAGUUGGAGAGGAGGGCGUGGCUUCCGGCAUUCGUUGGGGCUUUUGUAACUCGCUGGCGCCAAAGCUUGGGAUCGGUCUCUGCUGUUCUUCAUCCUCCACCUCGGGAGCCCCCGGUGACUGUCACAAUCUCUGUUGCCCUGUUAUCUGCAGGUUCUGGGAGACGCACAGUUAAGAUGCCAGGACAUCCUGGAAGAUGGGAAAAGGUUCUGCUGACAAAGGAGAUUAUGACAUAUUGCUGGGCCUAACACUAAGGUGGUGUUACUUACUUGCUUUGGCUGUGCUCUUGGAAGGCAUUGAGACAUACUGCUGUGCCCAGCACCAAGAUGAUGUGAGUUCUCUGCCUGAACCCUGACCACAGGAAGCACUGUGACCUACCUAUUGACCCACUGCAAUCUCUCCUAUGGGAAAAGCACAGAUAAAUGUCCUCUUUUACCUACAUGAUUUGACAUUCCUCUACUGCCUGGGCCAUGCCCACAGAAUAGAGUGAUUUAUCGCUGGACCAAGCAGUGAUGUAAUUAUUCUGCUUGGUCCUUGCACACACAAGUCACUGUGAUAUAUGUUUGGACCCAUAACCUAGAUGAUGUGCCUCCUCUUCUGGGGUUUGUCCACAGCGGCAAUUGUGAUAUAUCACUUAACGUAGCUCCUAUGUGAUGUGACUCUUCUUUCAUGUUUGGGCCCUUCCCACUGGGAUGAUUGGAACAUAAAGCUGAGCCCAGCACCUAGGUUAUGCGACUCUCUUCUUGUUUAUGGACCCUACCCGCAGGAGGCAUUGUGACAUAUCUCUAGGCCACUCACUUAGGUAAUGUGACUUUUUUGCCUAGGCCCUCCCCUCCAGAAAUAUUGUGAAAUAUUUCUGGACCAAGAACCUAGGUGAUAUGACUCUCCUCUUCUGCUUGGGACCUGCAUACAUUGCAUGUUGCAACAUGUCUCUGAGUCCAACACCAAGGUGAUGUGACUGCCCUGCAUGGAUGCUCCCACGGAAAUAUUAUAACAUCUCUUUAUUCAUUAUCUAGGUAAUGUGACUCUUCUCUUCUGCUUAAG